UUGACAGAAGAGAGUGAGCACAUACUGUUUGUUAUUGUAUCAUGGCAUACAAUUCUGGGUGCGUGCUCACUUCUCUUUCUGUCAU
rnacentral:pre_miRNA from 1 species